rnacentral:rRNA from 1 species
AACGAACGCUGGCGGCAGGCUUAACACAUGCAAGUCGAACGCCCCGCAAGGGGAGUGGCAGACGGGUGAGUACCGCGUGGGAACAUACCCUUUUCUACGGAAUAGCUCUGGGAAACUGGAAUUAAUACCGUAUACGCCCUACGGGGGAAGGAUUUAUCGGGGAAGGAUUGGCCCGCGUUGGAUUAGCUAGUUGGUGGGGUAAAGGCCUACCAAGGCGACGAUCCAUAGCUGGUCUGAGAGGAUGAUCAGCCACAUUGGGACUGAGACACGGCCCAAACUCCUACGGGAAGCAGCAGUGGGGAAUAUUGGACAAUGGGCGCAAGCCUGAUCCAGCCAUGCCGCGUGAGUGAUGAAGGCCUUAGGGUUGUAAAGCUCUUUCACCGAUGAAGAUAAUGACGGUAGUCGGAGAAGAAGCCCCGGCUAACUUCGUG